UACGUAGGGUGCAAGCGUUGUCCGGAAUUAUUGGGCGUAAAGAGCUCGUAGGCGGUCUGUCGCGUCUGGUGUGAAAACUCGGGGCUUAACCCCGGGCCUGCAUCGGGUACGGGCAGACUAGAGUGUGGUAGGGGAGACUGGAAUUCCUGGUGUAGCGGUGAAAUGCGCAGAUAUCAGGAGGAACACCGGUGGCGAAGGCGGGUCUCUGGGCCAUAACUGACGCUGAGGAGCGAAAGCGUGGGGAGCGAACAGG
rnacentral:rRNA from 1 species